CAGGUACAGAGGGAUGCUACCGGGCGACCGGAUGCGGAUCUCGAAAGCCUGUCCCAGUUCGGACUGGAGUCUGCAACCCGACUCCACGAAGUUGGAUUCGCUAGUAAUCGCGCAUCAGCCAUGGCGCGGUGAAUACGUUCCCGGGCCUUGUACACACCGCCCGUCAAGCCAUGGGAGCCGGGGGCGCCUGAAGUGCGUGACCGCAAGGAGCGUCCUAAGGCAAUACCGGUGACUGGGGCUAAGUCGUAACAAGGUAUC
rnacentral:rRNA from 1 species